rnacentral:tRNA from 2 species
CGGUGUGAGGGUGACGAGGCGGUGCUCGAGGUCGCCGACGACGGCCGCGGGAUGAGCGAGGAAGAGCGCGUGCGGGUGUUCGAGCCCUUCUACAGCCG